UCGUGCUAGGCGGGGAGUCUGCGGUUCCCUGUACCCGAAAUCCGCAAUACGCGGGGCUGAAUUCCCUGCUCCCGGGGCGCCCGCACGCCGGUUCAACAACCGUCGGCGGUGCUGAUGGCCGGGCUCCGCGCAUCGGCAGGCGCCCGAAUCGUGUCAGGGCCGGAAGGCAGCAGCACUAAGAGCGACCUCCCGAGUGCCGCGUGACCACCUGACCGGAGUCGUCGGCGACUGCUCCUGGCGAGGCGGCGUCACAAAAGCGGGGUGCACGA
rnacentral:SRP_RNA from 1 species